UACGAGGGGAGCAAGCGUUGUUCGGAUUUACUGGGCGUAAAGGGCGCGUAGGCGGCGUGACAAGUCACUUGUGAAAUCUCCGGGCUUAACCCGGAAAGGUCAAGUGAAACUGUCGUGCUAGAGUACAGAAGGGGCAACUGGAAUUCUCGGUGUAGCGGUGAAAUGCGUAGAUAUCAGGAGGAAUACCGACGGCGAAGGCAGCUUACUGGGCAUUAUCUGACGCUGAGGCGCGAAAGCGUGGGUAGCAAACAGG
rnacentral:rRNA from 1 species